rnacentral:misc_RNA from 1 species
GAUGAAGAACGUAGCGAAAUGCGAUAAGUAAUGCGAAUUGCAGAAUUCAGUGAGUCAUCGAAUCUUUGAACGCACAUUGCGCCCCUUGGCAUUCCGAGGGGCACACCUGUUCGAGCGUCAUUUCACCAGUCAAGCCUCGCUUGGUAUUGGGCAACGCGGUCCGCCGCGUGCCUCAAAUCGACCGGCUGGGUCUUCUGUCCCCUAAGCGUUGUGGAAACUAUUCGCUAAAGGGUGUUCGGGAGGCUACGCCGUAAAACAACCCCAUUUCUAAGGUUGACCUCGGAUCAGGUAGGGAUACCCGCUGAACUUAAGCAUAUCAAUAAGCGGAGGA